rnacentral:lncRNA from 1 species
CAGUUUAGACUAGCUAGUUCUGGUUCACUUGCAUAAGUUGUCGAGUUUUGGUCAAUUUUAGCCGGUUCUUAGAUUGACAUUUCGCUGCACUAAUUUAAUUAUGUAAGUUGUUAUAGCUAUACAAAUUAUUAAUAAAACCAACUUAAUAUUUCAUUUGAUUAAUAUUUUUAUUUACUUAAUGAUGACAUCAAAAUAUAAUAAAAAAUUAAAAAACAUAUUUUAC